rnacentral:rRNA from 1 species
AUUGAACGCUGGCGGCAUGCUUUACACAUGCAAGUCGAACGGUAACAGGUCUUCGGAUGCUGACGAGUGGCGAACGGGUGAGUAAUACAUCGGAACGUGCCUGGUAGUGGGGGAUAACUACUCGAAAGAGUAGCUAAUACCGCAUGAGAUCUACGGAUGAAAGCAGGGGACCUUCGGGCCUUGCGCUACUAGAGCGGCUGAUGGCAGAUUAGGUAGUUGGUGGGGUAAAGGCUUACCAAGCCUGCGAUCUGUAGCUGGUCUGAGAGGACGACCAGCCACACUGGGACUGAGACACGGCCCAGACUCCUACGGGAGGCAGCAGUGGGGAAUUUUGGACAAUGGGCGAAAGCCUGAUCCAGCAAUGCCGCGUGCAGGAUGAAGGCCCUCGGGUUGUAAACUGCUUUUGUACGGAACGAAAAGCCUGGGGCUAAUAUCCCCGGGUCAUGACGGUACCGUAAGAAUAAGCACCGGCUAACUACGUGCCAGCCGCCGCAGUAAAAC